GGUGAUAUCAUACUUACCGUUAUCAAUGUAGGUACUCGGCUAUGCUGUGGGUUGCCAUCAACCUUAGACGCGUUCGUUGUCAAUAGUGUAGUGUGAGGUCGGGUUAGAUGCCC
rnacentral:ncRNA from 1 species